rnacentral:rRNA from 1 species
GACGAACGCUGGCGGCGUGCCUAAUACAUGCAAGUUGAGCGCUGAAGGUUGGUACUUGUACCAACUGGAUGAGCAGCGAACGGGUGAGUAACGCGUGGGGAAUCUGCCUUUGAGCGGGGGACAACAUUUGGAAACGAGUGCUAAUACCGCAUAAAAACUUUAAACACAAGUUUUAAGUUUGAAAGAUGCAAUUGCAUCACUCAAAGAUGAUCCCGCGUUGUAUUAGCUAGUUGGUGAGGUAAAGGCUCACCAAGGCGAUGAUACAUAGCCGACCUGAGAGGGUGAUCGGCCACAUUGGGACUGAGACACGGCCCAAACUCCUACGGGAGGCAGCAGUAGGGAAUCUUCGGCAAUGGACGAAAGUCUGACCGAGCAACGCCGCGUGAGUGAAGAAGGUUGUCGGAUCGUAAAACUCUGUUGGUAGAGAAGAACGUUGGUGAGAGUGGAAAGCUCAUCAAGUGACGGUAACUACCCAGAAAGGGACGGCUAACUACGUG